GAUCAUGGCCUGAGCCGAAGUCAGAUGCCUAACCGACUGAGCCACCCAGGCGCCCAACCUAACUUCAAUUUUAAAGAGAGGAAGAUAAAAACCUUUUCCCACACUGCAUGCGGAAAAUGAGUCAGCUUCAUUUCAGCCCAGGAAACAUUUAUUCUGUGUCUACUGUCUACCUACCAGAUAUUACAACAUGUUCAAUAUACAAACAAGAAAUCAAAUAUCGCGGGGCAAGUGUUUUAAAUAAACAAGGAAUGUGUCUAGAAGGGUGUAAGACAAAAUUGCCAAAGGUUUAUACUGCAGAGUAAGAUUACAUGACGUUUUCUCAUUUUGCUUGUCUAUUCUCAAAUGUGUAUUGUGAUAUAUAUUUGUGUGAAUGUGCGUGUGUGUGUGUGUCCCUUAUAUGACAUUCCUAUCCACAUUUGAUCCUCAACCUCCUUUGUAAACUUUAUUUCUGCUUUCUCUCUCCAUAAUUCAUAUAUCCUCUGAUUAAUAGCAUAUUUGUGGGAAGGAGCAUUUUGUACAUCAGUUUUUUACUCUAUUUCCUAUCCCUGCUGAUGGCCUGCUAUUGUCAAUUUAAAUAUCACCUGCUUCAAACAGUCCCGCAUUAUGUGUGAAAACCUCUCUGACCCUGAAUUCCUAAACCUUAUUUCUCUCAGUGCUGAGCAUUUUGUGAUACGGUGUCUUGCAUUGCUAUUUUACUUAAUACCUUACCCUAUAUGGUACUUUACUUUCAUAACAAUUUUACAUAAAUUAUCUUAUUUCAUUCUGUGAAAUAAGGUAGAUAUGAUCUCUGUCUUCUGUGUGGGAAAAGAGCAGUAUUAAGUGACUUGCUUACACUUCUGAGGAGCCAAGGCCAAGAACAUAGGUUUCUGACUCUUGAUAUAAUUUGAUUUUCAUUAAAUGGAGCCACACUUAGUUUACUUUUGCUCUCUGACAAAACUGUAUAUCAACUCUAUGAGCUCAGGAACUCUUUAGAAGUCAAGAAUAUAGUGUACACAAUAGGUGCUCAGUAAAAUCAUUGAUUAAUGUUUUGACAAGAUCUAUAAAGCAAAUCAACAUAAAUCAAAGCAAAUUUCCUGGCUAAUUAAGAGAUAACCUCUUCAAUAUUAAAAUCUUCAGGUCUGUCUUUCUUCAAGAUUUUAAAAUUCUAUUUGUAGGUAUUUGCAUUUGUUUAAGAUAUAAGGAAGAUAUUUAGAGAAAAAAAAAUCAGCAUUUAGAAAGAGAAGGCAACACUUUUAUUCACCUGAAGGGAAAAUUUACUAGUGGAAUGACUGGUUGAGAAGGAGAGAGCAGCGUAACUGGCAAAAACCCUCACUGUAGUAGGAGAAAAGGAAAUCCAGGGAAGAAGAAAGCACCAUGAAAUGCCAUGAUGUUGGGAUUUGUUCUGGAUUUUGUAUAUUUCUGACAAGGGUGGAGAGAGCAGGACCUCACAGAAACAAAGCAAUAUUCGACACGGUUUAUAAGCUACUGAUAAAAUCUCUGCUCACUGGUGGUUUCCCAAGUGGACAACAACUUAGCAGGCCAAUCAAAGAGUGGUAAAAUUUCAUGUGGAGCUCUGAGACUUCUGUCUUAGUUGGCUGGAGUCAGGAACAAGGUGAACUGCCCACAAGCUAAGGACAAGCAAUACCCAGGGGAGAGUAAACAUUUUUCUCAUUGCAGCAAAAGACUAAAUCUAGUUAUGCAAACAAUGACGACAGUGAGUGGGGAUACUGAUGGAUAAAAUACAUACUGUACAAUUCAUUCAAUCUUUGUGAAUCGUAUAAUCUGAAAAUAAUUUUUAUGUUAUAAUGAGUAAUUGAAAUAAAUUCAUACAAUUUUUGUUUUGCACAAAAGUAAUAGUGGCUAGAAGCAUAGGCUUUACACCCCCUCCUUUCUUGGGUAAUUUCUUAUGGAAUGUACUUUCAUCCAUUCAACACUUAUUUAGCAAGCACUGUAUAUACCAGCUCCAAUAGUAGGCCCUGGAGUUGUAACUGUGAAGUAAACAGACCCGAGCUCAGGUCUGGAAACUGGGCACAACAGUAUCGUGACUUUUUAUUAUAAUGACCUUCUCAACCUCCUAAUUAUCCAUCCUUAAUGGAUACCCUUGGUAGCUGCCCGUCUUCCUAGUCCCUUUGUAUGCUACAUUCUAUUAACUCUCUCCAUAGUUCUCUGCAAUACAGGCAUCCCCUCCUGCCGCCCAGUAUGAUAAUUGUGCCUACCUCGCUUCUGAUCAGACCUAUUUCAAAGCAUCAGCAGCUUCAGGAUUUCUCUCUUGAGCCAAAGAAAAGUAGAGCUUUCUCUAACCUUCUUACAAAAGAGCACAUACAGCCCAGAUCCGUAGACCUAGUUUACCAGAUAAAGCAGCUCCAGCUUCCUGUGUAUUUUGCAGCAUUGAGAACAAUCAUGUUGUGGGUUCCGAAGUACCAAACAUGGCUUCCGCUGCCCGGCCCCAGAGAGGCCCUGGAGAGUGAUAAAAUUUGAAUUAUUCACAGCAAUUAGUACCAGCACUGCACUGGGACUCACAUUUCAGCCCAAGCUUUUAAGAGGGCUGACCUCGGUGGUCUGCUAUAUGAAAGAGCUUCAGUAAUCAUGAUCCAUCAUGGGAAAAAGAAGUUAUCAGGCAAGAGGAUGUGAGGGGAACAAUUAUAUGGAUGGAAAACAUCUUCAUUAUCAAAGAAACAGACUCGGGAAGGGGAUGUGCUGGCAUCACACCUACCAAGACGAGCAGGGAGGGGAACAGGACGAGGUAGAGCUGAAGAAAUGGGGCUGCAGAAGUUGGUGAAUUUGGCCCGAGUGGCCAGGCAGUCCCAGGCGCCAUUCACAGGUUGUGGACAAUUAGCAGAUGUUUCUUUUUCCAGUGUGGAAGCUGAGGAAUGGAUCAAGAUGGCGGCAUGAGCAGAGACUUCUAAGAACCUGCUGAUUUUACAAAUAUGGCAGCUAUGCCUCAGCAAAUUAUAAGCAAUAAUGAAUUAGUUAAUUUUCUUCAGUGAAAACUGCUAUG